GUUUCAAUAUUUUAUUAUUAAAUUAUUGGUCUUGUAAACCAAAAAUAAGAAACCUUUUAAAACU
rnacentral:tRNA from 1 species